rnacentral:rRNA from 1 species
UAGGGAAUAUUGGGCAAUGGGCGGAAGCCUGACCCAGCCAUGCCGCGUGCAGGAAGACGGCCUUCGGGUUGUAAACUGCUUUUAUACAGGAAGAAUCGCACUUUGCGAAGUGUAGUGACGGUACUGUAUGAAUAAGCACCGGCUAACUCCGUGCCAGCAGCCGCGGUAAUACGGAGGGUGCAAGCGUUGUCCGGAUUUAUUGGGUUUAAAGGGUACGUAGGCGGUAUAUUAAGUCAGUGGUGAAAGUCUCCAGCUUAACUGAAGAAGUGCCAUUGAUACUGGUAUACUUGAGUGUUGUAAGGGUGGGCGGAAUUCCGCAUGUAGCGGUGAAAUGCAUAGAUAUGCGGAGGAACACCAAAAGCGAAGGCAGCUCACUAGGCAACAACUGACGCUGAGGUACGAAAGCGUGGGGAGCGAACAGGAUUAGAUACCCCGGUAGUCC